AUUGAACGCUGGCGGCAGGCUUAACACAUGCAAGUCGAGCGGAGAUGAGGUGCUUGCACCUUAUCUUAGCGGCGGACGGGUGAGUAAUGCUUAGGAAUCUGCCUAUUAGUGGGGGACAACAUUCCGGAAGGAAUGCUAAUACCGCAUACGCCCUACGGGGGAAAGCAGGGGAUCUUCGGACCUUGCGCUAAUAGAUGAGCCUAAGUCGGAUUAGCUAGUUGGUGGGGUAAAGGCCUACCAAGGCGACGAUCUGUAGCGGGUCUGAGAGGAUGCUCCGCCACACUGGGACUGAGACACGGCCCAGACUCCUACGGGAGGCAGCAGUGGGGAAUAUUGGACAAUGGGCGGAAGCCUGAUCCAGCCAUGCCGCGUGUGGGAAGAAGGCCUUUUGGUUGUAAAGCACUUUAAGCGAGGAGGAGGCUACCUGGAUUAAUACUCUAGGAUAGUGGACGUUACUCGCAGAAUAAGCACCGGCUAACUCUGUGCCAGCAGCCGCCGCAGUAA
rnacentral:rRNA from 1 species